rnacentral:rRNA from 1 species
GACGAACGCUGGCGGCGUGCCUAAUACAUGCAAGUAGGACGCAGUUGCGAAUGGGUGAGUAACGCGUAGGUAACUGCCUAUUAGAGGGGGAUAACUAUUGGAAACGAUAGCUAAUAUCGCAUACUAGUAGCUGGAUCUGCGUUGUAUUAGCUAGUAGGUUGGGUAAUGGCCUACCCAGGCAACGAAACAUAGCCGAACUUGGCGGGGGAGCGGCCACACUGGGGAUGGGACACGGCCCAGGUUCCUACGGGAGGCAGCAGUAAGGAAACUUCAGGAAUGGGGGGAAACCUGGCCGGGCAACGCCGCGUGAGUGGAGAAGGUUUUCGGAUCGUAAAGCUCUGUUGUUUAGUGAGCGGUACUUAACCAGAAAGGGACGGCUAACUACGUGCCAGCAGCCGCGGUAAUAC